rnacentral:sRNA from 1 species
UCACCUCUCCUCCCCAGCACCCUUGUCUGUUUUUGAAUCCUAGCCCAAGCAGAGAUGCUUUCAGAGUUUGAGGAGAAAUGACUUCCCUUAUGGUUUACAGGCCAGAAAUAAGCGGAAACAAGAGACCAAGAGCUUAAAGCAGAAGGAAGCUAAGAAGAAAUCCAAGGCUGAGAAAGAAAAAGGAAAGACAAAGCAGGAAAAACUGAAGGAAAAAGUCAAGAGGGAAAAGAAGGAGAAGGUAAAAAUGAAGGAAAAGGAGGAGGUGACCAAAGCCAAGCCAGCCUGUAAAGCAGAUAAGACCCUGGCCACACAGAGGCGCUUAGAGGAACGGCAGAGGCAGCAGAUGAUCUUGGAGGAAAUGAAGAAGCCGACAGAGGAUAUGUGUCUGACUGACCACCAGGUAGUGAGGAGAGAGUAACAGUUCCUGGGUCAGUUGGGAAGACUUUCCUUUAAAAAAAAAAAAAAACGGACUUCUGCAAUGGGAGAGACAUUUCCAUUAAAGAUUAAAGGAAGGCCGGGUGCCAUGGCUCACACCUGUAAUCCCAGCACUUUGGGAGGCCAAGGCGGGCAGAUCGCUUGAGCCCAGCAGUUCAAGACCAGCCUGGGCAACAUGGCGAGACCUCAUCUCUACAAAAAAUACGAAAAUUAGCUGGGUGUGGUGGCAUGUACCUGUAGUCCCAGCUAUUUGGGAGACUGAGGUGGGAGAAUUGCCUGGGCUUAGGAGGUCGAGGCUGCAGUAAGCAGAGAUCAUGCCACUGCACUCCAGCUUGGGUGACAGAGUGAGACCCUAUCUCAAAAAAAAAAAAAUUACAUAAAGAUUAAAGGAAGAACCUCUUGUAGACAUGCAAAUUGUCAUAUUCUGUUAUGUUUAACAGAACUCCCUACUCACUUUUCUCUCUCUAGCCCCUGCCUGACUUCUCACGAGUCCCUGGUCUGACAUUGCCCAGUGGAGCCUUCUCAGACUGCUUGACCAUUGUGGAGUUCCUGCAUAGCUUUGGCAAGG